UGUUUACUCCUUCCGUUCCAUAAUUCUUGUCUCAAAUUUGCCCAAAAAUGGAUGUAUCUAUUCCUAAAAACUGUCUAGAUACAUGUAAUAUUUCCACAAGAAUUAUGGAACGGAGGGAGUAGAUA
rfam:Brachypodium distachyon strain Bd21 chromosome 4, whole genome shotgun sequence.